GCCGCGUGAGGGAUGAAGGCCUUCGGGUUGUAAACCUCUUUCAUCAGGGAAGAAAAUGACGGGACCCGCACAAGAAACUCCGGCCAACUUCGUGCCAGCCCCC
rnacentral:rRNA from 1 species